rnacentral:tRNA from 1 species
GCCUGAGUGGCUCAGUCGGUUAAGCAUCUGACUUUGGCUCAGGUCACGAUCUCACGGUUUGUGAGUUCGAGCCCCACGUCAGGCU